AUGUCAUCAGUUUCCCUUUAUCUUGAUUACAUGUCCAGGAACACUGACAUUCUAACAACAAAAUGGACAACUCCAGUGGACCAAAAUAAGUUGACUAUACCCGAAAUGAUGGAAGAAACGGCGCAAACAUUAACCCUGAAGGGAGAAGGAAGAGAAGAGUCAUAUGUCUUUUGGCUUCAUUAUGGUGACAAAGACAGUUCUGGACGCCUUGCCCAUGCUUGGUACCUGCUAACCUAUUGACUCGAAUACAUGCGGUCUAUAUACACGGGCUCUCCUUUGCUUAUACAACCCAAAGUGAGUUGACUUUGAGGCCAGAAGCCAUAGACUUGAAAGGUAAAGUCAGAGACAAAUGAGGCUGAAGCUGUAAGGACAAAGGAAAUUAGGGGACCCUUGCUUACCUCAGAUACAGAGCAGGUAUGUGUUAGAAAUGUUUGUGCUUACUAAUUAAAUACAUUUCAUUUCCUCUUACAUCUUUUUUGCUUAACUAAGGAGAAAAUGUGCAUUAUUUAUAGGAACUAAACAUAAUGAAAACACAAAGAAAAGGAACCAUUUUGAUUCAAAUCUUGGCAAAUAUCCAACUUGCAAUAACUUGAAGAUUUAAUAUUAUUACGUGCACACACACACAAAAAUAAAGCCUAAUGCUCAUCCA
rnacentral:lncRNA from 1 species